rnacentral:tRNA from 1 species
GCCUGGGUGGCUCAGUCGGUUAAGCGUCUGACUUCGGCUCAGGUCAUGAUCUCGCGGUUUGUGGGUUCGAGCCCUGCGUCGGGCU